GCCGGAGUGGCGGAAUUGGCAGACGCGCUGCGUUCAGGUCGCAGUGGGAGUUCUCCCGUGGGGGUUCAAAUCCCCCCCCGGUACCA
rnacentral:tRNA from 1 species